rnacentral:rRNA from 1 species
AUUGAACGCUGGCGGCGGGCCUAACACAUGCAAGUCGAGCGGUAGCACAGAGAGCUUGCUCCCGGGUGACGAGCGGCGGACGGGUGAGUAAUGUCUGGGAAACUGCCUGAUGGAGGGGGAUAACUACUGGAAACGGUAGCUAAUACCGCAUAACGUCGCAAGACCAAAGUGGGGGACCUUCGGGCCUCAUGCCAUCAGAUGUGCCCAGAUGGGAUUAGCUAGUAGGUGGGGCAACGGCUCACCUAGGCGACGAUCCCUAGCUGGUCUGAGAGGAUGACCAGCCACACUGGAACUGAGACACGGUCCAGACUUCUACGGGAGGCAGCAGUGGGGAAUAUUGCACAAUGGGCGCAAGCCUGAUGCAGCCAUGCCGCGUGUGUGAAGAGGGCCUUCGGGUUGUAAAGCACUUUCAGCGGGGAGGAAGGCGAUAAGGUUAAUAACCUUGUCGAUUGACGUUACCCGCAGAAGAAGCACCGGCUAACUCCGUGCCAGCAGCCGCCGUAAUAC